GUUGUUUAGUUGAAAAUUAAUUAAAUAAUUUUUGAUUUUGAGUAGUAUUGACUUCAUCAGCUUGCUGCUCUCUUUUCGGAAAUUAUUUAAUGCACUUUUCAGUUAACAAGUCAACAUCAAUUUCUUUUGUUGUAAAAGGGUAAGAGGAAGGUGGCUUACAUUUCGGUGUAAGUGUUUAUAGCCUUUUACCUCUGCAAUCGGAGAGAUUGAGGUCAGCAGCGUAGACUCUUCGGGGUUAGAUACGCUUGUGCUAAGCUAUAGCCUUGUAUAGACAACUUGUUGACUAUACUCAGUCAUGUAGCUUACUCGCUUGUAGUAUUUUACCUAC
rnacentral:rRNA from 1 species